rnacentral:lncRNA from 1 species
GGGGAUCUCCCAGAACCUCACUAUUUGCAAAUAUUUGGGGAGACUCUCCCGAUUCCUGAGUAUGUAAGCCCACUUCGUGGGGCACUCCCCAGCCCAGAACUGUAGUCGAUUUGCACAUUUUCCUAAGGACUCCCUAGGAUUUAAACUUCUCUCUACGGGGUUCUAGAAGGGAGCCUCCCCCGGAUUUAGGCAUUGCUUUACAAAGCUUCCCUCGGGGAACCCAACUCAAGUUUCUCGUUACACGUUAUUGGGGCGGCCUCCCCAGUACUUGACGGGCAGUUUGCAGGCUGUACUUGGAUCUCGCAGAGCAUAAGUUUCUCAUUUACACGUUAUUUCCGUCCCCCGCCCCCAUUCCUGCCAACCCAGUAUCGAAUUGACGGUCGCCGGCCCCCUACUCAGUGCCGCACCCCCGCCGGACGUCCCAGCGACCUUUCAAUGGCCAAGGCGGGGGCGGGGCCUGCCGGAGCGCCCCGCCCGCCGCCGGUGCGCUAGCCUCGCGCGGGCUCGCGGCCCCCUUACCUAACGCGGCUGCUGAUUGGUUCUCGGGGCGCGGUGUGCGCUCUCCCGUGACGGGAGUCGGGUGGGGGCGGGGAGGCUGACCCAAGCCACCCGCCUGCAAAUGGCGUCUGGGGGCCAGGAACGUGGGAAGGAGAGAAAAUGGGCACUCCCCACUCCGAAACCGGCCUCGGCGUCCGGGUUGCAGCCCCUAAGGAAAGCUGGGCCGAAGGAAGAAGAGGAGGAGGAUGUAACGCGGGCCCGAGCUGAGAUCAGUUCCCUCAGGCGACUCGUCCUGCGCAUGCGCUGAGGGCUGGAGCUCGAGAACUGAAUGCGCUCGCCGGGCUGAGCGUGCGUGGAUGGAGGCGGUCGGCUUCAGCACGCAUGCGGGUUCCGGAGCGGGAGGCGGGAGGACGCCGCGGCUCUGACUCAAUGCGCGUGCGCGCGGUUGGGGGGUUGAGGGUGGGGAGAUGAGUAGGGAAAUGGAUACGCCGAGGAGCCGGCAGGAGGGAGAGCGGCCCGGAUCUGGGGUUCGAGUUGUGCCUCUUCGGUGAUGUUGGCGGGAUGCAGUGGGGUGGGACGACAGGGAGGAAUUUCACUGUUCUGGGCUGAGUGCCAAGAACACAUGAAUGAAUCAGACUUGGCGUGCGCCCUGGAAGACACCCCGGCCUGUGGAGAGACUGCCAGGGCCUCAAAUCACUUAGGAAAGGGCGCGGGUCCGGUUGGACCUUGAAGGACAGGCAGGCGAGGGUACUCCAGGGAACAGCUAAGCAAAGGCGGCGAAGACCCCGGGGGAAGAGGUCUAGACUGGCUUGGAUUCAGGGUCCACCUGGGUGGGAGGUGAGGCAGCAGAAUGGGCAGGUCAGACCCUGAAGGGUCUCCAGUGUCAGUUUUAUCCUUAAGGCCUGGGAGAUGCAGAAUAGUCUGAGACAGAACUAUGUUUAAAACCCUCGAAGGCCGCGUUGGAGAAGGGAAUCCGCUCCAGGGUCGAAAAUUUAAACACACGUGGGCGGAGUCUUGCGCGCGCCAAAGAGGAACAUUGGGCGACGGGCGCGGCCUGGAGAGCGCAUGCGCAUUCGGAAGGGUCGGCAGUUCCCCAGUGGGCAGAGUGGGUGGAUGGGAAGGUUCUAGCUUUUUAUUUGAAAUUUUAUUUAUUUUUAUUUUAUUUAUUUAUUUAGAGACGGAGUCUCGCCCUGUCACCCAGGCUGGCGUGCAGUGGCGAGAUCUCGGAUCACUGCCGUCUCCACCUCCUGAAAUUCAAGCGAUUCUCCUGCCUCAGCCUCCCAAAUAGCUGGGAUUACAGGCGUCCACCACGCCUGGCUAAUUUUUUGUAUUUUUAGUAGAGACUGGGUUUUGCCAUGUUGGCCAGGCUGGUCUCGAACUCCUGACCUCAAGUGAUCCGCCCGCCUCGGCCUCCUAAAGUGCUAGGAUGACAGGCGUGAGCCACCGUGGCUGGUCUAAAAAAAAGUUUUUUAAAAUUAUAUUUGAACAGGUAUUACAUGUACAUACACAAUUCAAACCUCUCUGGCUGUAUACAAUAAAAGUAAGUUUCCACCUCUGGUUCCCAUUUUCCUUUCCUAAAGCACUGGUUCCCGGUUUCCUUCUGGAGCUGCUGUUAUAAUAAAGCAUUGGAGUUAAGAGCAUGUGUUGAGUUCAUAUAAAUAGCGGCUGAGCUUGACCAAGUGACUUAAUACUCUCUACUUCUACGUCCCUGUUUGUGAAUUGGGUGUGGUAUAACCUUACUUACAACAUUGCCGCCAGCAUUAAAUGGGUGAGAGUGCAUAGAACAGUGCCUGUUGCCUAAUGGUACUGUGUGUUGUCUCUGUGUAUUAUUUUGUGGUCUACCAUGCUGAUAGUUGUAGAUUCUGAGCAGCCCUCUCCCCUCCAGGCCUCAUCCCUACUGUCAUUGUCCCAGUACCAGUACCAGGUGGAGCCACCUCUCCAGGCUGCCACAGGUAGAAACACCAGUCACCCAGAAUGACUUGAGUCCACUGUUGAUGGAUUCUGGGGAAAGAUUCUGGGUGUUUGAUAAAGAUACACAUGACAGGCCAUCUCUGUAUUAUGUCUAUCAGUGUCCAAUUUUACUUCUUCAGCUCAGGCCAUAUCUGAAUUUCUCAACCCCAGAUCACUCACGAUUGCCAGUUUCACGUCAGGGCAACCCUCAGAGGUAGAAUUUUCUUAAAAGAGGGAAAGAGGAGGCCUGGCAUUGACCUUGGACCCACUGUGUACCAGGCUGUGUGCUCUCUGCUUUAUAUACAUCACUAUAAUCUUCUCCCCUAAUUUGUUUAACAGAUGUUGGUCCGCGCAGUGACUCACGCUUGUAAUCUCAGCACUUUGGGAGGCCGAGGCAGGCAGAUCACCUGAGGUCAGGAGUUCAAGACCAGCCUGGCCAACAUAGCGAAACCCCAUCUCUACUAAAAGUACAAAAAUUAGCCGGGUGUGGUGGCAUGCGCCUGUAAUGCCAGCUGCUCGGGAGGCCGAGGCACGAGAAUCACUUGAACCCAGGAGGUGGAGGUUGCAGUGAGCUGAUAUCGCACCACUGCACUCCAGCCUGGGUGACAGAGUAAGGCUCUGUCUCAAAAAAAAAAAAAAAAAAAAAAAAAAACAGAUGUAGACAAAUGAGCCUGGAAGAGAGAAGGGCCUUACCGAAGUCCCCAUAGGCAGGAAGCAGCAGGGCCUGGAUUCAAACCCGGGCCUGGAUUCAAACCCAAGCCUGUCUCACUCCAGAGCAAGCCUACACUUUUUCCCUGGCACCGGGGAGCCAGCCUGGUGAUGAGUCAGCAGUACAGUCAGGCACCCAGUGAGCUGCCUUUUGUAUUAGUGGCAUGGUAUGCUGUUCUGGAGAUAUAUCAUACUUUAACACUUUCUCUGUUGAUGAGCAUUUAGACUGUUGCUGAACUUCUGCUCUUACAAACAUUUACUGCAGGGGUUUGUGUGUAUGUUUCUGUUUUCUAAUUUUUUCUUUUUCAGACAUGUUCUUGCUGUCUCGCCCAGGCUGGAGUCAUGUAAUACAGUUGUGGCUCACUGCAGCCUCAACCUCCUGGGCUUAAGCAAUCCUCCCACCUCAGCCUGAGGAGUAGCUGGGACCACAGGCAUGUGCUACCACACCCAGCUAAUUUUCUAUUUUUUGUAGAGACGGGGUUUCACUAUGUUGCCCAGGCUGUCUCAAACUCCUGGCUCAAGCAGUCCUCCUGCCUCAGCCUCCCAAAGUGCUGAGAUUAUGCUACAGUUAAUAUCCUGGUACACGUGGCUGCAUGUAUAUGUUAGUAUUGUCAGUAGACUAUCUCAUUUGAAGUGCAAGUAGAAUUGCUGGGUCAAAGGGUAUGCACAUUGGGAAUUUUGAGAGCCAUUGCCAAAUGAUCUGUUCAUGUCUUUAUUUUUUGUUUUUGAGACAGGGUCUCCCUCUGUCACCCAGGCUGGAGUACAGUGGCAUGAUCAUAGCUCACUGCAGCCUCAGCUUCCCAGGUUCAAGCAAUUCUCCUGUCUCAGCCUCCCGAGUAGCUGAGACUACAGGCAUGUGCCACCACACCCGGCUAAUUUUUGUAUUUCUUGUAGAGACAGAGUUUCACCAUGUUGCCGAGGCUGGCCUCAAUCAAUCCUUCCACCUCAGCUUCCCAAAGUGCUGGGACUACAGGUGUGAGCCACUGCGCCUGGCCCUGUUCAUCUCUUUUUCACUUUUUGUUCAUUUCUUUCAUUUAUAUGUUGAAUGAAUUAUGGAACUCUAGUCAUCUGCCAGGCACAGCUGUAGGCUGGAGAUCCUGUAAUGAAUAGGAAAAGCACCUGCCCUUUGGGAGCAGAUAUUCUAGUGGGGCAGAUGACAUCAGAUAAAGGAUGCUUGGAAGAAAAGAAAAUCGGGGGUGAGGAUUGGGAAGACAUUGCAAAGGAUACAAAAUUUCAUUUAGACAGGAGGAAUAAAUUCAAGAGAUCCAGUCCACAACAUGGUAACUAUAGUUAGUAACAAUGUAUACUUGAAAAUUGCUAAGAGGAUAAAUUUUCAGUGUCCUCACCACAAAAAUGAUAAAUAUGUGAAAUAAUGCAUAUGUUAAUUAGCUUGAUUUAGCCAUUGUACAAUGUAUAAAUAUACAAAACAUGUUGUACACCAUAAAUAUAUACAAUUUUUAUUUUUCAAUUAAAAAUAAAGUCAGGUGCCGGGCGCAGUGGCUCACGCCUGUAAUCCCAGCACUUUGGGAGGCCGAGGCGGGCAGAUCAUAAGGUCAGGAGAUCGAGACCAUCCUGGCUAACAUGGUGAAACCCCGUCUCUACUAAAAAUACAAAAAAUUAGCCAAGCGUGGUGGCGGGCGCCUGUAGUCCCAGCUACUCCGGAGGCUGAGGCAGGAGAAUGACAUGAACCUGGGAGGCGGAGCUUGCAGUGAGCCAAGAUCGCACCACUGCACUCCAGCCUGGGCAACAGAGCGAGACUCUGUCUCAAAAAAAAAAAAAAAAGUCAGGUUACAGGAAUUGACAGUGAUAGAGGUCACAGAGAGUGACAGGUGGCCAGGGAAGGCCGCUUUGAGGGGAUGACAUUUGAUCAGAGGCCUGAAUGCAGUUAAGGAAGGUCAGGAAAUGAGCCAUCUAAAGAUGCUGAAGAACGGCCAGUAAAAGACCCCAAAGUGGGAGUGGGCCUGGCUGUCCAAGGAUGGUCAAGGUGGCCAGAGUGGCUGAAACAGAGCAAGGGAGGGAAAGAAGGGCAGGAUUAUUUAGAGACGGAGCUGUAGACAGGGCCAGUUUACAUAAAGUCUUACAGGCCAUGGUAAGCAUUUGGAAUUUACUUCCAAAUGUAACAAAGCCAUUGCAGGGCUACAAACAAGCACCGGCUUGUUCCAAUUAAUGUUUACAAAGACUUCUCCAGUGAACAACAAAAAUUAACAGUGAUUGCCUAUAGGGAUGAGGGUUAUAGACAGAUGUGGGUCAGGGCUAUGGGAACUUAAAAAGCGUUGUUGUUUUUUUAAACCACGUAAUUAUUAGCUAUGCGCAAAAAUGUUCAGUGAAAACAGUGCUGGUUGCUGUGAGGAGAAUGGCCUGCAGGGGCGGAAGCAGGAGAUGAGAAAGCUGGUGUCCUUGCCUGGGCAAGAAAGGAUAGUGGUUCUGGAAGAGGGUGGUGCUAAUAGAUGAGUUGAGAAGGGUCAGGAACUGGGAUCUUUUUUGAAGGUAGCGCCAAGAAAUUAAACAUGGGGUGUGAGAGGAAGCAUGAAUCAGGGGUGACUUGAAAGUCAUCCUAGAGAUCUGUUGUACAACAGGGUGACUCUCAUUCAUAACAAUGUGUUAUAUGCUUGAAACUUACUAAAAUAAUAGAUUUUAAGUUUUCUCACACCACAAAAAAAUAAGUAUGUGAAAUAAUGCAUAUGUUAAUUAGCUUGAUUUAGCCAUUCCACAAUGUGUACAUAUAUUAAAACAUCAUGUUAUUUGCAGCAUUAAAAAAAGUUCUAGCGGGGAGGGGGGAGGGAUAGCAUUAGGAGAUAUACCUAAUGCUAAAUGACGAGUUAAUGGGUGCAGCACACCAGCAUGGCACAUGUAUACAUAUGUAACAAACCUGCACAUUGUGCACAUGUACCCUAAAACUUAAAGUAUAAUAAUAAUUAAAAAAAA